UACGUAGGGGGCGAGCGUUACCCGGAUUUACUGGGCGUAAAGCGCGUGUAGGCGGCUGGCCAAGCGUGGUGUGAAAUCUUCGGGCUUAACCCGAAAACUGCAUUGCGAACUGGUCUGGCUAGAGUGUGUGAGAGGGUAGUGGAAUUCCCGGUGUAGCGGUGAAAUGCGUAGAGAUCGGGAGGAACACCAGUGGCGAAGGCGGCUACCUGGACCAGCACUGACACUGAGGCACGAAAGCGUGGGGAGCAAACAGG
rnacentral:rRNA from 1 species